rnacentral:rRNA from 1 species
CGUAGGGUGCAAGCGUUAAUCGGAAUUACUGGGCGUAAAGCGUGCGCAGGCGGUUUUGUAAGUCUGUCGUGAAAUCCCCGGGCUCAACCUGGGAAUUGCGAUGGAGACUGCAAGGCUAGAAUCUGGCAGAGGGGGUAGAAUUCCACGUGUAGCAGUGAAAUGCGUAGAGGUGUGGAGGAACACCGAUGGCGAAGGCAGCCCCCUGGGUCAAGAUUGACGCUCAUGCACGAAAGCGUGGGGAGCAAACAGGAUUAGAUACCCUGGUAGUCCACGCCCUAAACGAUGUCUACUAGUUGUCGGGUUUUAAUUAACUUGGUAACGCAGCUAACGCGUGAAGUAGACCGCCUGGGGAGUACGGUCGCAAGAUUA